GCGGCUUGCCUAAUACAUGCCGGCUCGCAGCGAGUUCUGAUCCUUGAUCGGACGUCUUGCAUCUUGAUUUAAUUUUGAACGAGUGGCGGACGGGUGAGUAACACGUGGGUAACCUGCCCUUAAGUGGGGGAUAACAUUUGGAAACAGAUGCUAAUACCGCAUAAAUCCAAGAACCGCAUGGUUCUUGGCUGAAAGAUGGCGUAAGCUAUCGCUUUUGGAUGGACCCGCGGCGUAUUAGCUAGUUGGUGAGGUAACGGCUCACCAAGGCAAUGAUACGUAGCCGAACUGAGAGGUUGAUCGGCCACAUUGGGACUGAGACACGGCCCAAACUCCUACGGGAGGCAGCAGUAGGGAAUCUUCCACAAUGGACGCGAGUCUGAUGGAGCAACGCCGCGUGAGUGAAGAAGGCUUUCGGGUCGUAAAACUCUGUUGUGGGAGAAGAAUGG
rnacentral:rRNA from 2 species